rnacentral:lncRNA from 1 species
AUGACUCGGCCGCUGGGAACGGCCACCUGGGUCAGGGGCAGCGGAGGGGGCGGCGGAGCGCCGAUGCCACGGAUGGGUUUGGAGGGGCUUGCAGGAGGCGGGCACCCGUGUUCAGGGCCGUUUCGGAGGCUAAGCGGGACCGGCCGGAGCUGCGGUGCUCGCGCUCGCCUUGCCGACCGCCAUUUCGCAUCCUGCAGAGGAGGUGGGGGCCGCCGCGGAGACGGCUUUUUACAAGCUAUGAAGUGGACAUGCCAUACGACAUGCUCUUCAGCUGGUCCGGAAACAAAAGUGUUUUCUGAAGCACUGGUUCGAGUGUUGUGUAAGCUCCUGCCAGCGUCUGUGGGCCCACGGCUGAUGGGAGGGCAAAGAGACAGGGCUUUUCCAUAUGAUGUCCAUGCAGCUGUAACCGUGGCACGGCCUGUGCCCCAACCCCUGACAAGGGAGGCACUUGGAUCGAAGUAGAAAAGCCCUGUUUUCUAGCCAUGACCUAGAGGAGAAGUCUCUGACCCCCGAGGGGGACAGAUGACCUGACAGCCAGGACCCCACGAGCCCAAGUGCUGGCAGUGCCCUGGACAGUCUUGGGCGCAUCAGCACCGAGGCUGAGCUCAGAAAGGCUGGGAGCAGCUGAGGCCUCUUAGGCCAGGAGGACAAGAGCCAUGUCUACCUCACCCCGGAAAAUCCCUGGGGGAACAGAGAGGCAGGAGGGCGAGGGAACCCAAAGGAGUUCAGAGCCCCUUUCUGAGGCUCACACUUCAGGAGCCCAGGCCCCACACCUAGAGUUCUGAGAUGGGGCCAGGGCUCCUGUAUAUUUUGGUUUCAGUCCCAUAGGUGACUGUGUUCUCUCAUCCUUUGCCAAGGGCAGUGUAACCUGUACAAUUGGGCAAUAACUGCCAGAAUUUAAAAAGCGUAUGCCCUUUGCAAUUACUUUGACUAGUAAUUUCGCUUCUAAGAAUUUCCUCUACAGAGAUGCAUGCGUCUUGCAUGAAAUGAAGAGGCUAUAAAGAUAGGCCAUGCAGCCAUGUUAUAACAGCAAAGACUAGAAGCAACCCGCUUGUGCAAAAAAAUUCUGAUUUUUAAAACUGUGGUCCAGCUGUGCAACGAGGACUCUGCAUCUUUUAAAAAAAGACUGAGGAAGUGCCGUGUGAACUGAUGUGGAACUAUCUCCAAGACGUGGUUAAGUUAAAAAAAAGUAGAGAGCAGAACAGUGUGUAGCGUCUGCUGCCCUUUGGACGAUCUAAGGUCGUCUAUGCACAUCCCAUCUCGUCAGAAAUUCAGAACAGCGGUUGCCUCUGGGAAGGGAACUGGGUGGCUGGAACGGGGACAGGAGGGAGCAUUUUAUACCUUUUAAAUUUUGUACCAACUGCCCAUAUAUCUACCUAAAAGAUAAAAGGAGAGAAAAGAAAAAAAAAAAAAAUGGAAGCCACAGUCUUUCUCAAACCUAAUCUCAGAAGUGAAAUUCCAUCACUUAUGCCAUAGUUUAUUCAUUAGACGCUAGUCACUAGGUCCAACUCACACUCAAGGUGAGAGGAUUACAUAAAGUCACAAAUAACAGGAGGCAAGGAUCAUUUGGGGACAUCUUAGGGACUGGCUACCACACAACGCAAAUAUCCAACAAUGGUAGAAUGAGUAGAUAAAUUAUGGUCUAUUUAAAUACACUGAAAUAUUAAACAACAAGAAAACAAAUGAACUACAGCCACUAGCUACAACAAGAAAUGAAAUCUCACAGACAAAUGUUGAAAAGAAUACACACACAAAAGAUGAUUCUAUUUAUAUGGUAUGAUUCUAUUUAUAUAACAUUCAAAAACAGACAAAACUAAACUGUGACAAUAGAAGUCAAAUAGUGGUUACCUUUCUGGAGGAAGGAUGGGGUAUUGACUGGGAGAGGUGCUUCCAGAAUGUAAAGUUUUAGAUCCUGACCUGGAUCGUGAUGAUAUGGGGGGUUCACUUCAUAAAAAUAUAUCAAUCUGUACAUUUUUGGUGUAUGCACUCUUCUGUGUGCAUACUAGACUUCAACAAAAGAUUUUACUUAAGAAAAUAAAACCUCCCAAAAAACUCA